AUGCAUGUCUAAGUGCAAAUCCUUGUAUGGUUGACUCRMGAAUGGSCCRUUAAAUCARUKAUGGUUCCUUAGAUCGUGUCCUACAUGGAUAACUGUGGAAAUUCUAGAGCUAAUACAUGCGAAAUUUAACUACGACCUUCGGGGAGUAGUGCUUUUAUUAGACCAAAACCAAUCGGAUGGCUUCGGCUGUCCGUACUGGUGGUGACUCUGGAUAACUUUGUGCUGAUCGCAUGGCCAUGUGCCGGCGACGUAUCUUUCAAAUGUCUGCCCUAUCAACUGUAGAUGGUACGUGAUGUGCCUACCAUUGUGAUAACGGGUAACGGGGAAUCAGGGUUCGGUUCCGGAGAGGGAGCAUGAGAAAUGGCUACCACAUCCAAGGAAGGCAGCAGGCGCGCAAAUUACCCACUCCCGGCACGGGGAGGUAGUGACGAAAAAUAACAAUGCGGGACCCUACGGGUACCGUAAUUGGAAUGAGUACACUUUAAAUCCUUUAACGAGGAACAAUUGGAGGGCAAGUCUGGUGCCAGCAGCCGCGGUAAUUCCAGCUCCAAUAGCGUAUACUAGUUGCUGCGCUUAAAAAGCUCGUAGUUGGAUCUCGGGCUCGGGCUGGUGGUCCGCUAAGAAGCGGUACUGCCUGUCCUGACCUACUUGCCGGUUUGUCCGGAUGCUCUUCACUGAGUGCCCGGUUCAGGCCGGUACGUUUACUUUGAAGAAAAUAGAGUGUUCAAAGCAGGCCUAUGCCUGAAUAAUGCAGCAUGGAAUAAUGGAAUAGGACCUCGGUUCUAUUUUGUUGGUUUUCGGAACUCGAGGUAAUGAUUAAGAGGGACAGACGGGGGCAUUCGUAUUCCGCCGUUAGAGGUGAAAUUCUUGGAUCGGCGGAGGACGAACAACUGCGAAAGCAUUUGCCAAGAAUGUUUUCAUUAAUCAAGAACGAAAGUCAGAGGUUCGAAGGCGAUCAGAUACCGCCCUAGUUCUGACCAUAAACGAUGCCAACUAGCGAUCCGCCAACGUUUUCAAAAUGACUCGGCGGGCAGCUUCCGGGAAACCAAAGUCUUUGGGUUCCGGGGGAAGUAUGGUUGCAAAGCUGAAACUUAAAGGAAUUGACGGAAGGGCACCACCAGGAGUGGAGCCUGCGGCUUAAUUUGACUCAACACGGGGAAACUCACCCGGCCCGGACACCGUAAGGAUUGACAGAUUGAGAGCUCUUUCUUGAUUCGGUGGGUGGUGGUGCAUGGCCGUUCUUAGUUGGUGGAGCGAUUUGUCUGGUUAAUUCCGAUAACGAACGAGACUCUAGCCUGCUAAAUAGACCACUCGUCUAAAAGCGAGUGCAGUGCUUCUUAGAGGGACAAGUGGCCCUUUUCAGCCACACGAGAUUGAGCAAUAACAGGUCUGUGAUGCCCUUAGAUGUUCGGGGCCGCACGCGCGCUACACUGAUGGCAUCAACGUGUUUGUCCUUGCCCGACAGGGUUGGGGAAGCCGUUGAAACGCUUUCGUGCUUGGGAUUGGGGCUUGCAAUUGUUCCCCAUGAACGAGGAAUUCCUAGUAAGCGCGAGUCAUCAGCUCGCGUUGAUUACGUCCCUGCCCUUUGUACACACCGCCCGUCGCUACUACCGAUCUAUUGGUUUGAAGAAAAGGACGGAGAUGAUGCUACUGGAGCCUAACGGUUCUAAAUAGCGUUGUUGAAGUCUCUUCAUUCAUCCCAAUGC
rnacentral:rRNA from 2 species